rnacentral:rRNA from 1 species
UUGAACGCUGGCGGCAGGCCUAACACAUGCAAGUCGAGCGGAUGAAGGGAGCUUGCUCCUGGAUUCAGCGGCGGACGGGUGAGUAAUGCCUAGGAAUCUGCCUGGUAGUGGGGGAUAACGUCCGGAAACGGGCGCUAAUACCGCAUACGUCCUGAGGGAGAAAGUGGGGGAUCUUCGGACCUCACGCUAUCAGAUGAGCCUAGGUCGGAUUAGCUAGUUGGUGGGGUAAAGGCCUACCAAGGCGACGAUCCGUAACUGGUCUGAGAGGAUGAUCAGUCACACUGGAACUGAGACACGGUCCAGACUCCUACGGGAGGCAGCAGUGGGGAAUAUUGGACGAUGGGCGAAAGCCUGAUCCAGCCAUGCCGCGUGUGUGAAGAAGGUCUUCGGAUUGUAAAGCACUUUAAGUUGGGAGGAAGGGCAGUAAGUUAAUACCUUGCUGUUUUGACGUUACCAACAGAAUAAGCACCGGCUAACUUCGUG